GAUAAACGCUGGAGGCGCACAUAAGACAUGCAAGUCGAACGGACUUAACCAUUAGUUUACUAUUGGAGCGGUUAGUGGCGGACUGGUGAGUAACGCGUAAGCAAUCUGCCUAUCAGAGGGGAAUAACAGUGAGAAAUCACUGCUAAUACCGCAUAAGCUGUGAGUAUCGCAUGAUACAAAUAGAAAAGGAGCAAUCCGCUGAUAGAUGAGCUUGCGUCUGAUUAGUUAGUUGGUGAGGUAACGGCCCACCAAGGCGACGAUCAGUAGCCGGACUGAGAGGUUGACCGGCCACAUUGGGACUGAGACACGGCCCAG
rnacentral:rRNA from 1 species